UACGGCGGGUGCGAGCGUUGUCCGGAAUCACUGGGCGUAAAGAGCUCGUAGGCGGCCUGUUGCGUCCGCUGUGAAAUCCCGGGGCUCAACCCCGGGCGUGCAGUGGAUACGGGCUGGCUGGAGGCAGGCAGGGGAGAACGGAAUUCCUGGUGUAGCGGUGAAAUGCGCAGAUAUCAGGAGGAACACCGGUGGCGAAGGCGGUUCUCUGGGCCUGUACUGACGCUGAGGAGCGAAAGCGUGGGGAGCGAACAGG
rnacentral:rRNA from 1 species